UCCAAAGGAAACAUAACUUCUUAAAAUUUUUAAUGAAAUAUUUUUUUAUAAAAGUAAACUAUAAUGUGAGAAAAGUCAAACACAGAAGUUCAUGUAACUGGGAUGAAAGUACUCCUCCCUCCUCCCCAGAUACACGUGUACGGUGGCAGCUCACUAUGGAUCUAUCUUGGGAGGGGAGCACAACUGGCCGCCCCCAAAUGCACCUCUCUGGCAUAACGAUUAUCUGGAGCUGGUUAUUUUUUAAGAAACAGCAGACCUAAGCAAAGCUUUGAAAACCUUUUGUCAGGGACAUUGACAUCAAUAAGGGAAGGAAAGGUCCAUCUAUAAGGGUGUCUUCCUCUCGCUGCCAGGACGAGGGGAUGACAGAAAUCUCUACGAACUCUUUUCUUAAGUUUUAGCACGAGUUGUUAAAAGGGCAGAUUUUUUUUUUUAAAUUAACAUUUAAUGGAGAAGGGACCAAUCGACAUCUGCUGAACCACCUUACCCUUGUUCAUUGUGAUUUUCCUGACAGCCCCCCAUAAUGGACUCCCUUAGUAACCCCAACAUCUUGUCUUGAGCUGGAGAUGGUAUUUAAGGUGGUGUCUUGGGCCACUUUGGGGGGUUUUCCUGUUUUCCUGGGUAUCUCCCAGAUAUACAGGAGGUAUACGUGGUAUUAAACUUCUGCUUUUCUCCUAUUAAUUAGUCUUGUAUUUCAGGGGGUGGGGGGUCUCAGCCAAGAACCUAGCAGGGUAGAUGAUAAAUAAUUUUUCCUCUGCUACAUUUUGGCAACCUACGCUGGGACCUGCUGAGACACCCUACUCGCCUGGGAGCCUACAGAUGGGAGCCUGGAAAACCGGCAGAAGCCGGCAAAGUAAUCUCUACCCUCAAUGUGGGGCUCAAGCCCACGACCUCGAGAUCAAGAGUAGCACACUCUUCCGAUGGAAUCAGCCAGGCACUCCAAAGGAAAUACAGCCUAAUGUGCCAUGGUGCAGUCUUAUUUUAGAAACACAUUUCGGGGACGAUACUUACAGUCCCACCCAUGUGGGGAGGCAGAUACUCCACGCUGACAUAGUCCUGGACUUCAUUUUUG